rnacentral:misc_RNA from 1 species
UGUCAGUGCGCAGCAGCAGGU